UCAGUAACACGUGGCCAAGCUCCCCUUCAGUCAGCGAUACCCUCGGGAAACUGAGGUUAACAGCUGAUACAAAACGCCAGCUGGAAUGCGGCGUUUCAGAAAGACAUCGCUGAAGGAUGCGGCUGCGGCCGAUUAGGUAGACGGUGGGGUAACGGCCCACCGUGCCAGUAAUCGGUACGGGUGAUGAGAGUCAGAGCCCGGAGACGGAAUCUGAGACAAGAUUCCGGGCCCUACGGGGCGCAGCAGGCGCGAAACCUUUACACUGCACGGAAGUGCGAUAGGGGAAUCCCAAGUGCGAGGGCAUAUUAGCCCUCGCUUUUCUCGACUGUAAGGUGGUCGACGAAUAAGAGCUGGGCAAGACCGGUGCCAGCCGCCGCGGUAAUACCGGCAGCUCAAGUGAUGUCCCAUAUUAUUGGGCCUAAAGCGUCCGUAGCUGGCCGACCAAGUCUACCGGGAAAUCCACCCGCCCAACGGGUGGGCGUCCGGUAGAAACUGGCCGGCUUGGAACCGGAAGGCUCAGAGAGUACGUCCGGGGUAGGAGUGAAAUCCCGUAAUCCCGGACGGACUACCGAUGGCGAAAGCACUCUGAGAAGAUGGCUUCGACAGUGAGGGACGAGAGCUCGGGUCUCAAACCGGAUUAGAUACCCCGGUAGUC
rnacentral:rRNA from 1 species